AUACCGGGCCUUUUUGGGCUUGGUAAUUGGAAUGAGGGAGAGUUAAACGGACCAUCGAGUAUCCAUUGGAGGGCAAGUCUGGUGCCAGCAGCUGCGGUAAUACCAGCUCCAAUAGCGUAUAUUAAAGUUGUUGCAGUUAAAAAGCUCGUAGUUGGACUUGUGUGCGCUGUCCGCGGGUGGCCUGCGCCCAAAAGGGCGUUUCGGUUCGGCCCCGGUGGCGCCUUGAAAUCUGCAGCUGGGGGGACGUUGGCCUUAACUGGUCGGCGACCGCACGCCGGCUGCUCGGUUACUGUGAGAAAAUUAGAGUGUUCAAGGCAGGCAUUGGGUGCAAUUGAAUACAUUAGCAUGGAAUAAUAAAAUAUGGCUCCUGCCGUAUUUUGUUGGUUUUGACUGGUGGGAGUAAUGAUUGAUAGGGACGGUUGGGGGUGCUAGUAUUGAGCGGCCAGAGGUGAAAUUCAUGGAUUCGCUCAAGGCUAACUUAUGCGAAAGCAUUCACCAAGGACGUCCUCUUUAAUCAAGAACGAAAGUUGGGGGAUCGAAGACGAUCAGAUACCGUCGUAGUCUCAACCAUAAACUAUGUCGACUUGGGAUCGGCGGUAGUUUUUUCAUUAAGACACUGUCGGGACCACGGGAGAAAUCAAAGUGUCUGGACUCUGGGGGAAGUAUGGUCGCAAGGCUGAAACUUGAAGGAAUUGACGGAAGGGCACCACCAGGAGUGGAGCCUGCGGCUUAAUUUGACCCAACACGGGGAAACUUACCAGGUCCAGAGAUGUAGAGGAUUGACAGAUUGAAGCUCUUUCUUGAUCACUUCGGUGGUGGUGCAUGGCCGUUCUUAGUUGGUGGAGUGAUUUGUCUGGUUAAUUCCGUUAACGAACGAGACCUCAGCCUGCUAGUGUAGUCGGCUGGAUUGCCUUUGGCGAUCCGUGAUUUCGACUUCUUAGAGGGACAAUCGACGCGCAGUCGAUGGAAGUUUGAGGCAAUAACAGGUCUGUGAUGCCCUUAGAUGUUCUGGGCCGCACGCGCGCUACACUGCUGGGCUCAGCGAGUUUUACUUGGCCGAGAGGCCCGGUUAAUCUUGUGAAAUCCCAGCGUGCUUGGGCUCGCCUCCUGCAACUGGAGGCGCCAACGAGGAAUUCCUAGUAGACGCAGGUCAUCAACCUGCAUCGAUUACGUCCCUGCCCUUUGUACACACCGCCCGUCGUUCCAUAAGAGUUAGGCAUCCGGUGAAUUCUCGGGAGAGCCUGGGCGUGGCCAGCAAUGGUCUGCUCGGGUUUGAACUUGCAUAAACUUGGUGCCUAUGAUUAGGG
rnacentral:rRNA from 1 species